GGUGUUGUUGGGUUGGAGAUGCUCUUAUUAGGCUUGGGCGGAGUAUUUUUAGGGCCAAAGAGACCGCGGCGAGGAGCCGAACUGGAGGAAGAGAGCUUGGUGAGAGAUCUAUGAGUGCGGCGAUGGGCGGCGAAGCUUCUUAGCUUGGGAAAGCAGCGGAUGGAUCUGAUUCGGGAGGAGGAUGCUCUGCCGAUGUGCUUUUUCGUUGGAAUAUAAUGUUCUUGAUUAUAAAGACAAAGUCCUGGAUGAGUUUUAUGAUGCACUUGGGUUGCCAACUUCUGCAAGUGAAGGAAAGAUUCUGUCACUAGUCACUCUCCAAGACAUAAAUCUUGGUUUCGAAGCUAUUGUUGUCAAUCAUGCUAUUGAUCAUGAUUUGGUUGAGUUUCAGCCAGUAACACUGUGUAUUGCUUGACUGCCUGCUGAGCUAGUGAUUUUAGUUUAAAGAAUAUCUGAACUUGUAGCUGGGCAUAUGGGUGGGCCAGUAAAGGGUGCUAGUAUUAUGUCAGCAAGAUGGUUGGAGAGAGAGUUACGAAGGUCACUACAAACAAGUGUAUUACCUAUUGGUUGCAUAAAAUUAGGUUUAUCUCUUCAUCGUGAUUUGCUCUUCAAGGUCAGGCCUGUUACUAUUUUAGAAUGAGAUUUCUUUCAUCAUGCCAUUCAAAGCAGAAAGUAGGAGUGGGCUUUUGUUUUUGUGUUAUAUAACAAGAACAGAACAUCUAGGAAGCCAUCUAAUGUGCAUGGCCUUGUCGACUUAAAAUUGGGGGAGCAAAUAAUUGAGGAUUUAAAGGGUAUAAAGUUUAAUGCAGUGUUUUGAAGGAUAUAUAGCUAUUUAUGGAGGUCUGAGAGAUAUUAGCUAAAAGAGAACUUAUUAUUUGUUGAUUUUACUUUUAAAAUUUCAAAUUGUGCCAAUACAAUAUUUUUUUUUAUUCCAAUAAA